ensembl:lncRNA
CAGAGAGAGACAGAUACAGAGAGAGACGUACAGAGAGAGAUGUACAGAGAGAGACAGAUACAGAGAGACAGAUACAGAGAGAGAUGUACAGAGAGAGAGAUAUACAGAGAGAGAGAUACAGAGAGAUAUACAGAGAGAGAUACAGAGAGAUAUACAGAGAGAUAUACAGAGAGAGAGAUACAGAGAGAGAUGUACAGAGAGAUGUACAGAGAGAGAUACAGAGAGAGAUACAUACAGAGAGAGAGAUGUACAGAGAGAUAUACAGAGAGAGAUGUACAGAGAGAGAUAUACAGAGAGAGAGAUAUACAGAGAGAGAUAUAGAGAGAUAUACAGAGAGAGAUAUAGAGAGAGAGAGAGAUAUAGAGAGAGAGAGAGAUACAGAGAGAGAGAUAGAGAAAGAUAUA